rnacentral:tRNA from 1 species
GCCUGGCUGGCUCAGUUGGAAGAGCAUUGACUCUUGAUCUCGGAGUUGUAGGUUCGAGCCCCAUGUCGGGUG